rnacentral:lncRNA from 1 species
GUUUAACACUCAGAUUUCACCUCCUCCGGGGGCUGACCCGGAUCUCCUAGGCGGAGAUCUUUGAGGUUCCAAAGUACUUGGCCCAAAAGUUAUCCAAGUGUUCUGACGUCAUCGUGCAACCCAAUCAGUGAAGGAUCCUGUCUGGAUAUGCAUUGUCCUAGGCCCACCCACAAACGUUUGGAUUAAAGAUCUGAGACAGGACCCAAAGUUUGAAUUUUUAACAAGAGUGCUUCCCAACCCCCAAAUUGUUCCCAUGUCACGCUGCUGUAUCUCCCCUCACCCACCGAGACUGGGUGCAUCUUGAAGGGAGAGAUGAUAUAUUACUCAUUCGGUGCCCACCACAGGCCCUGCCCAGAACGCAUGCUUAAGGCAUGAAAGAUGGAUGCAUAGAAGCCAAUACAUGAAUUAGUGAACAAACGAAUGAACCCGCCCUCUCCACGUCUGUCCCACCCAUCCAACUCCAGUGACCUGUCCUCCUCAGCCUGACCACCUCUCUUUCUUACAGGGUCGAGGCUCUUUGUGCACCCUCCCAACCGAGUCUUGCAGCUGCAGGUGUGUACACAUGUUCCAGUUCCUCUCCCCAGGGAGAGCAGGAGGUCCACUGGCCAACACUUAUUAAGCACCUGGUGGGAGUCAUCUGUGCUUGGAAGUUUAUUGCUGUUCUGAUGUUGAAGGAUACUAUGCCAAGUGACCACACAGAGGGCAUGGUGUACUGCCCUUGUCUAGAACAUUCCUGUAAUGAACAUAGGAGAGUUGGUUCUAUUGCACAGAUGGGUAAGCUGAAACAGGAGUCUCAUACCUAAAGUCAAUGAGUGAUGGGAAGCCAUUGAAGAGAUGGAAGGAGUUAAAUGAUCAUGCGUGUUUUUAGAAGUAUCUUCUGAAUGGAGGGUAGGUUUGAUGUCAUUAACCUAAGGGCAGAGACCCAUGUAGACAACUUUGUAAUAGGCAAGCCAGGAGAAGACGAGGGUGUGAACAAAACAAGUAAACUAGAGAAGAGUG